UACGUAGGGGCGAGCGUUGUCCGGAAUGAUUGGGCGUAAAGGGCGCGCAGGCGGCCUGUCAAGUCAGUAGUGGAAGUCCAUUUUUCAAGGAUGGAAGUGCUAUAGAAACUGAUGGGCUUGAGUGCAGGAGAGGUUAUCGGAAUUCCCGGUGUGGCGGUGAAAUGCGUAGAGAUCGGGAGGAACACCAGUGGCGAAGGCGGGUAACUGGACUGCAACUGACGCUGAGGCGCGAAAGUGUGGGGAGCAAACAGGAUUAGAUACCCU
rnacentral:rRNA from 1 species